GACCAUACCCUGCUGAAUAUACCGGUUCUCGUUAGAUCACCGAAGUCAAGCAUCAUUGAGCCACGGUCAAUACUUGGGUGGGUAACCACCUGGGAACACCGCUUGCCGUU
rnacentral:rRNA from 1 species